AGUCAAGGGCCAAUCAUGAACAUACACGUACAAUCAGGCUCUUUCAGAAACCAAUCAUGAACACCACUGACUCAUGGAACAGGUCUCUAAAAAGCUUAUUUUCGUUUGAGGGAAGCAUCUUAUUUUUUAUCUGUCAUUUGGGUGACACUGUCAACUUGCUUUGCUGAGGCUAAAACCUGUGAUUUGACCAGUUUUGAGAUGGAUAACUUCACCAGCAACACAUGGGCUUCACUUGCUCUUCUGGAGAUGUUCGAUUUCAUCGAUGAUCUGAUCGAUGCUCUGCUCGAUGAUCGGAUGGAUGUUCAGACCGAAGCUCUGACCCAUGCUCUGAUCCAUGCUGGGCUCAAUGUUCAGAGCAAUGUUCGGAUCGAUUUUGGGAAACAUGCUCUGAUCGAUGAUCUGAUCGAUGCUCUGAUCAAUUUUCAGACUGAUGAUCUGAUGCAUACUCUGAUCGAAGCUCUGAUCAUUUUUCGUAUCGAAGCUCCGAUCAGUGUUUGGUUCAAUGCUUGGAUCCCUGCUCCGAUCCAUACUUUUACCCGUCUGCUGAGGGACCCCCUGAUUGAGAGCCUUCCUAUCUUCUAUCAGCAACGCAGAAAUCCUCUUCAGCUCUUCUUCUCCGCCAUGACAACCGAUCCAGGCCAGAAGCAAUGGGUAGACAAGGGCAGAUGCUCGGAGCGACCACAAAAAGACCAAGCUACUACUACUCCUCCUCCGGAUGUGUGGUCUUCAGCCUCCCCUUGGGGCGAGGACUAUAUCAAGGACCAGGGCCAGGACUAUAACAAGGACCAGGGCCAGGACUAUAACAAGGACCAGGGCCAGGACUAUAACAAGGACCAGGAGCAGGACUAUAACAAGGACCAGGACCAGGGCCAAGGUAACGGAUGGAGAAGGACUAUAACAAGGACCAGGGCCAGGACUAUAACAAGGACCAAGGCCAGGACUAUAACAAGGACCAGGAUAAGGGCCAAGGUAACGGAUGGAGAAGGACUAUAACAAGGACCAGGGCCAGGACUAUAACAAGGACCAGGGCCAGGACUAUAACAAGGACCAGGGCCAGGACUAUAGCAAGGACCAGGGCCAGGACUAUAACAAGGACCAGGAGCAGGACUAUAACAAGGACCAGGACCAGGGCCAAGGUAACGGAUGGAGAACACAUGGACGACAUGGAGACCUAUGUGACAUCGCUGCCCUCCUGUUUCUGGGUUGUCAGUAGUUAACAUAGCCACACAAAGUCAACAUUGGCUAAAUUGUAAACAUUAAUCAAGACAAAAAUUAGCUUUUUAGUUUUAAUUUAAAGUUAGGGUUAGGCAAAAGGUUAGCAGUAUGAUUAAGGUUAGGGUUAGGUUUAAAAUCACAUUUUAAGAAGAUAAACUGUAGAAAUAGGCGGGGUUUAUGACUUUGUGGCUGUGGUAACUGGUGACGAGCGAUAGCACCAACCCCCAAGGGAGAUUAGCUGACAUCAUGGCGUCAACUAAUGGAGAUCUUAAUAAAAUUCAAGUUCACUCUGUCGUCUCUUUCCCUUUCUCCAUAUCUCUCUGUGGUUCUUUCUCUCUCUUGCGGAUUACCUUCAUUUUGAUGUGAGGUGAAGCGAUGAAGACUGAUAAAAGAGUCUUUGUUUACUCCCCUUCAUGGAUCCAAGACUUAACAAGCGCCCACUUACUAACGUUACACAAUUCAGCUUUGCUUUGACAUCCGCUAUCAGAUCCAUGAAGGGGAGUGAACAAGGGCAGGAGAGACCAUCUUCCUGGAAUGAAACAGGCUGAGUUUAAAGUGUGACCAUGCUAUUUUGUAAAAAUAUUGUAUUGUAGUUCAGAACCUCUACUCCUGUCAGGUCAGUCUAUUUUUGAUUGCUACUGGUGACCCUGUAACCCGGUACUAUCCUGUGUCAGUAAUUUUAGAUAUAUAUGGUUAAAUUCAAAAAGAUUUGUAAUAUUGAUAUUGUGCGUGACGUAAAUAUGUCCUUUGGAGUGGAACUUGAGGCAGAAGCUUUUUCUGACUCUGAGCAGGCGACAAAGAUUCUAUACAGACGCAAACGUCGGGAAAGCAUGGAGGAGCCUAUAUUUUUUAGCUCAGAAACUGAGAUCUACAUAAGUAAAGAUGCAGAUUAUCAGACAUUGAGAGUGAAAAACAAUGGCAUAGACUCUUCUCAACGCAAACGUAGGAAUGGCUUACAUAUUCCACCAAAUUUUUGAGCAGAGCUGUAACAUGCACACUGCAACAUAUACAUGCUUUAUGUAUACUUCAGAGAUACAUAGUCACACUUUAAACCAGGUAUACUCUAUCUAAUAAAGCCUUCAUGACACCUUCAUAAUGUCCUACAUAGAGGCUACAUAAAUCAUUUGAAAUGUCAUGCUGCAAGAAAAGGUGAUAUAACAGGUCCUUUGUUAUGGUCCCUCCCCAAAUGUAUAACGCCUAACCCCAAAAAGGUUGAGACAACAUGUUCUAAGUUGCCAAUGAUGCAAAUGUUACAUCAGGUCUUAGGCCUGAAAGAGACAGUUGUUUUGGUCUAUUUCUGACUCACCUAAGGUGUUUUUAAGUAUAUUAGCUUAAAGGGCAUCUCCACCACUUUUUAACCUCAUUCUCAUUAUGUCCAGCACAAUACCAGUGUCAACAUAUGUGAACACGGCACAUUUGUGCGUUUUGUAGAAAAAUUAUAUUAAAAGACAUCAAAAGUUAAAACAUUUAAAAAUCUGUGAUUUUCACGGUAACCUGGGGAGCAAGAUAAUAUCCUCCAUUGGGCCAGAAACUUGUUGAAGGUUUUGAAAAACACUUACUUUUAAUCCUAACCUCUGCAUUUUUAAGGACCUUGUCUUUUAAACCCCAGAUCACAGAAACGCCCUGUUUUCACAUAUUUAGACACUGGUUUUGUCUUGGAGUUGAUGAAUAUAAGGUUGAGAAAUAGCGGAAUUGCUCUUUAACAUUGUUCAGAAAAUCCUGGAAAGCAUUGAAAAUGUACCAAUGUAUUAUUCAAAAUCAUGGCGCAACAUUGCUUUUGAACCAGCUAACAAACUGUUUGUUAAUUGUUUAGAUGAAUUAACAACACCCUAGAUAAGUAAGAACUGUCCCUUCAACAGAUUAUUUAUAUAUUUUUAUAUAUAUUUAUAUUUGUUUGAUGUAAUUUGCAUGUAUAUAUGGCUUACUUGAAUUCAAGUGACUGUCAGAUCACAAUUAACAUUGCAUGGAGCAUGAGUUAUACUCGAAGGAGGUAGACAGAAGGACGGCAUAUUAACCAUUUGAGCUUCAUUGCUCUGUAGAAAAUGUGCCCUACAUCAAAAACUGUUUGUCACCCUUGAUACAGUAUAAGGUUAAACUACUGUCAUACUAACAUCGAUGAUUGCUCCUUCUGUGUUUUAAAUAUAGAUAUCGUUUGUAUUUUUAAUAUGUUAAUAAAAAUCUGCUAUUUUAUUUUUGUCCCCAUGCAGUCCUAAUUUUAAACUGAGUAAAUUAAGACUGAUUAAUUGUUUUAGAACAAAAUACACAUUUCCUGUAUCAUUAGCACAACCUUGUUAUAUUGGGACAAAAACCUAUCCAAUGUAGAACACUUUUUGAAUCCUCUUAGAAAGGCUCUCAGGAAAUGUACUGGGAUGAUCAUGUCUUAAAAUAAGGUUGACACUAAGAAACAACAUUUACUGGGAUUAACAUCUAAACCACGAAAUGUAUGACUGACUGGAAAAAUAACUGUCACUGGACAAUGAGAUGAAUAAGUCAGAUCAGAGUUUACAAUCUGUCAAAUACUUACUGUUUAAAACAUUCAGGAACUACACUGAGUGUACAAAACAUGAUGGACACCUGUUCUUCCAUGACAUACUAUAGACUGACUGAACAGGUGAAUCCAGGUGAAAGCUAUGAUAUUUUAUUGAUGUCACUUGUUAAAUUCACUUCAAUCAGUGUAGAUGAAGUGGAUGAGACAGGUUAAAUAAUAAUUGUAAGCCUUAGGACAAUUGAGACAUGGAUUGUGUAUGUGUGCCAUUCAGAGGGUGAAUGGGCAAGACAAAAGAUUGAAGUGCCUUUGAAUGGGGUAUGUUAGUAGGUGCCAGGUGCACCGGUUUGUAUCAAGAACUGCAACACUGCUGGGUUUUUCAGCCUCAACAUUUUCCUGUGUGUAUUAAGAAUGGUCCAUCACCCAAAAGACAUCUAGCCAACUUGACAUUUUACAUUUACAUUUUAGUCAUUUAGCAGACGCUCUUAUCCAGAGCGACUUACAGUAGUAAAAGUUCAUACAUUUAAUUUCAUGCAUUUUCUUUUUUGUUGUUGUUGUACCGGCCCCCCGUGGGAAUCGAACCCACAACCCCGGCGUUGCACACACCAUGUUGGCGUUGCAAACACCAUGCUCUACCAACUGAGCCACAGGGAAGUAGGAAGCAUUGGUGUCAACAUGGGCCACCAGCAUCCCUGUGGAACGCUUUCGACACCUUGUAGAGUCCAUGCCCCGACGAAUUGAGUCUGUUCUGAGGGCAAAAGGGUGCAACUCAAUAUUAGAAAGUUGUUCAUGUUUUGUCCACUCAGUGUAUGUUAACAGUUCCAUUAUACAGGUGUGCUAUUCAGAGGACAAAAGGACCCAUAUCAUUACUAGCAAAAAACUUGGAAAGAGAACUGCCAAUUAUCAAUUAACAUUUGAAGAGUUUCAUUCAGAGAGUUUCAAUGCUAUAUAUCCAUUUUAUGAAAUUGUUGUAAUUGAACUUUUUUGGUUUAAUAAGGAUCUGACCAUAAAAAAUAAAUGUUUUGCCUAAAAUGGCAUACCCAAGGAUAUGCAUAUUCUUGAUACCAUUUGAAAGGAAACACUUUGAAGUUUGUGGAAAUGUGAAAUAAAUGUAGGAGAAUAUAACACAUUAGAUCUGGUAAAAGAUAAUACAAACAAAAAAACAUGUGUUUUCAGUUUAUGAAUGGUCUAUGUUUCUUCGUUUUUUAAUGACUCGAGCCGGUUGACGACGAUCAUAAAAUGGCAC
rnacentral:lncRNA from 1 species